GACGAGGGAUCCUAGCGUUGUUCGGAAUCAUUGGGCGUAAAGCGGGCGUAGGUGGCUUUAUAAGUCAGGUGUGAAAUCCCCGGGCUCAACCCGGGACGUGCACUUGAUACUGUUUAGCUUGAGUGUGGAAGAGGUGAGUGGAAUUCCAGGUGUAGUGGUGAAAUACGUAGAUAUCUGGAGGAACACCGGUGGCGAAAGCGGCUCACUGGUCCAACACUGACACUGAAGCCCGAAAGCGUGGGGAUCAAACAGG
rnacentral:rRNA from 1 species